CAGAGGGGGCAAGCGUUGUUCGGAAUUACUGGGCGUAACGGGCGCGUAGGCGGCCUGCUAAGUCGAACGUGAAAUCCCUGGGCUCAACCCAGGAACUGCGUCCGAUACUGGUUGGCUUGAAUUCGGGAGAGGGAUGUGGAAUUCCAGGUGUAGCGGUGAAAUGCGUAGAUAUCUGGAGGAACACCGGUGGCGAAGGCGGCAUCCUGGACCGAUAUUGACGCUGAUGCGCGAAAGCCAGGGGAGCAAACGGGAUUAGAUACCCCGGUAGUCCUGGCCCUAAACGAUGAAUGCUUGGUGUGGCGGGUAUCGAUCCCUGCCGUGCCGAAGCUAACGCAUUAAGCAUUCCGCCUGGGGAGUACGGUCGCAAGGCUG
rnacentral:rRNA from 1 species